GAGAAAGAGCGGAUCCCCCCCACCCCCCGCCCGCCGCCCCCUGCCAGACGCGGCGCUGCGCAGGGUCCUAGUGCCCGCUGUGCGGAGGGCUCCUGAAUCUGGCCACUUCGCUGGGAGGCCCUGUGCUCCCAGUGUCACCCGAAGGGCCUGAGGAGGCCACCUGCAGAAUUUGACCAAUCACUAAGACAGAGGAGCCCAGGGUGGUGUCUCAUGAAGGGACCCUCCCCUGCCCUCAUCUUCAGCCCUCACCUCGGUACUGGAAGACGUCAUGCAUGUCCAAGGGCACUCCGGGGAAUAUCCGGUCCACCUCUCUGGCGCUCUGGGGAUCCACCAUCUGCGUCUUCACGUCGAACCUGCGGGCAGGCGCCGAGGAGACAGGUGCUGAGGCGGCGGGCGGGCGGGCGGCGGACGGCGCCCGGGCUCCCCCUGCCGGCGGCCGCGGCGGCGCUCACCUCCAGACGCGCCUCCCGCUGAACAGCAGCAUCUUUCCCGCGCCGCGCGGGAGGGCCCCGGUCACCUGAGCCACGUCGGGGCCAAGGCCCAGCUUGUCCAAGCGCCUCGGGCCCAGCACCGACGCGCCUGUGUACACCCACACCUGGCGCCCUGCAGGGGAGGAGGGUCACGUCGGUCUGGGGGCGCAGAGUGCGCACGCACUCUUCUAGAACGCGAGGAAGGAGAUCCGGCGAGGCCUUUCCCAGCCCGCGUGCCCGCAGUCCCUGCACUGCAGGGCCAGAGGCGCUGGGUCGGGGGGCGCAAGGGCGUGGAGAGGAGGGGGCAGAAUCUCAGCCGCCCCGACGUUUGCUAAACUGCGUCCGCCAGGGGGCGUCUUUUUCUAAAACGCACAAGACGUUUCGUGGGUUAUCGAUGGUCUCUUGGGCCUCCUUGACUGAUGGGGAUUGACGCGGCGGCGGAGAGGGAGAAGGGAACUAACCAGAGAAGAAGAAAAGCUUCUUGGAGAGCGGCUCCUCAAAGGCCGAGUCCAGCUUGCGGGGCAGCGCGGGCCACGUGUCGGCGACAGGGAAGGGGCCCUGCGGCCGGCUCCCCCUGCCCUCAGAGAAUCGCCAGUACCUCCUGAGGACGCGAGGAGGGAAAGGACGGGCUCUGAGCCUUGCACCCAGGGCCCAUGGGCGGGGAGGGACAGGCAGCUCCUCCACCAGGCCCCCUCCCGCAUCCACACAUCCCUGCCUCCUCACCCAUCCUUGAAGAAAUACAGCUGGUUCCCAAUCUC